CUGUGACGUAGAAUGAGGCUACCAUUGACCUUCGGCAGAUUCGUCAGGACGAUCUUCUGCUGCCUGAGCGAAGCUGACAACAGGUAGCAGAAACCCGGGAAAGCGAAACCGAAGAUGGGGGACGGGUACCACUGCACUGUGCUAGGAGCCGGCCACAAAGAUGCAAUAACCUCUGGGCGGGAAGUGUGAAAAAGUUUCAGCCUAAAAUGGAAUCGGAGAAUAGGAAAUGGAGAAUCUCACGCAUGCGCCCUCAGAAGGAUAUGCCCGCUCUGGGCCUGAUUAUGCAAGACCGACGCUUCUCUCCUGACCAAUGAACUUCCGCCAAGAAUCCCUCCCCGUCCUCAAGCCAAUGAACUUACAGCCUGGACUCUGGCGGAACUCCCCACUUUGCGUUCCUUGCGGGUAAAUACUCCAAAACGCUCGAGGGACUGGCUUGUGGCUUGCUUCAGUCCGCGUUUCCCGUGUUACUCAAACUCUGGAAGGCGGACUCCUGCAAGCUGUGUUCCCCACCCGUCGGCUGAGAACCAGUUUCCAGACAGGGCUGUCCAGUGAAAUUGGGGAGCAGGAGAAAGAAAGAAACCAAGAAUUCCUCUGAAAGCAUCACUUGAUCACGUGGUUUACGUCGGCCGGAGGAGCAGGCCCGGAAGACCUGCCGCAUGGGCAGCCCCCUUGCUGCGCGGCACCCUGUGAGCCGGGGCCUGUGGGCCACAGCUGAUUGGACCAAGGUUUACAGGGGACAGGGGACCACUGGACCAGUGUUUAUCCCAGUAUCUGGGAGCCACUGUGUGCAGCUGAGCACAGCCCAAGUGAGCAGAGCGGGUGGUUAAAGUCUUCCGUCGUUGCCCAGAGAAGUGACCUGAGUCGCUGAGUCCCAGGAUGCAGCUGGGAGCCAGGGACAUGGCUUCCAAUCCUUGAGCCUCUGUUUCAGACACAUGGCCUGAUUUUUUGCUCCAGGAGGCUCACCUCUGUGGGCAUUUCUUGACUCUCUUCCAGAAGGAUGGAUUGUCAGAAAUGUGAGAUCUGGAACAGUGCAGUUCUACUGUACUUUUUUCAUAUAUUCCUAUGGUGCUUUCAGAGAACAUAGUAGAAAUUUAAUAAAUCAUUGUUGAACUGAUAACUUCCCCUUCUACUCAAAAUUCACCUAGAAU